GGUGGUAAUGCCGGAUGCUCCAUCACACUGCAUGGUGUGUUGGGAAAGCCUUUGCGGCAUGGGAUGGGGUCGCGUCCUAUCAGCUUGAUGGCGGGGUAACGGCCCACCAUGGCUUCGACGGGUAGCCGGCCUGAGAGGGCGACCGGCCACAUUGGGACUGAGAUACGGCCCAGACUCCUACGGGAGGCAGCAGUGGGGAAUAUUGCACAAUGGGCGCAAGCCUGAUGCAGCGACGCCGCGUGAGGGAUGGAGGCCUUCGGGUUGUAAACCUCUUUUGUUAGGGAGCAAGGCACUUUGUGUUGAGUGUACCUUUCGAAUAAGCACCGGCUAACUACGUGCCAGCAGCCGCGGUAAUACGUAGGGUGCAAGCGUUAUCCGGAAUUAUUGGGCGUAAAGGGCUCGUAGGCGGUUCGUCGCGUCCGGUGUGAAAGUCCAUCGCUUAACGGUGGAUCCGCGCCGGGUACGGGCGGGCUUGAGUGCGGUAGGGGAGACUGGAAUUCCCGGUGUAACGGUGGAAUGUGUAG
rnacentral:rRNA from 1 species